ACAUUAAUUGCCCGAAUUUGAAAGUUUCGGCUACUGUGGCUUGAAGUAAAGUUUUGGAACGUCCUGCAAUUAUGUGGGACAAG
rnacentral:sRNA from 1 species